GGAGAACCAGGGGAGCCAGGGUUAUAAUUCAGAAUCUAAGAGCCUGAGGACUGGGGUGACUGUUGAUUGAAGUCCCAGAGUCUGGAGGCUUGAGAUCCUGGAGUUCUGAUGUCCAAUGACAGAGAAGAUGGAUGUUCCAGCUCCAGGAAAAGAGAGAGAAUCUGCUCUUCCUCUGCCUUUUUGUCCGAUUCCCACCUUCACUGGCGUAAUAAUGCCCACCCAUUGUUGAGGGUGGAUCUUGUGCUAAUGUCUUUCAGAAGCAGCCUUAUAAUACACUUAGAAAUAAUGUUUUCCCAGCUAUCUGGGCAUCUUCUUAAUCCAGUCAAGUUGACACAUAAAAUUAACCAUUCUAUUCUGUAAAUAUGAUGUGAGAGAGAUCUGAUUUACAUUUUCAUAUCAAGGUUAUUUUCCAAUGCAUAGAUACAUUAGAAUAAGAAUUUUUGAGAAGUGAAAAAUAACAUCCUAGCAUAAUUUCCAAAAUCGUGUACUAUGGAACCCUAAUUCUGCAAUGUGG
rnacentral:lncRNA from 1 species